UACAGAGGUCUCAAGCGUUGUUCGGAUUCAUUGGGCGUAAAGGGUGUGUAGGUGGCGCCGUAAGUCGGGUGUGAAAUCUCGGGGCUCAACCUCGAAACUGCACUUGAUACUGUGGUGCUUGAGUACUGGAGAGGAGAUUGGAAUUUACGGUGUAGCAGUGAAAUGCGUAGAUAUCGUAAGGAAGACCAGUGGCGAAGGCGAAUCUCUGGACAGUUACUGACACUGAGGCACGAAGGCCAGGGGAGCAAACGGG
rnacentral:rRNA from 1 species